UAUACUUAGUGGUGCUGCUCACAGGCAAACCCUUAUAUUCUGAGCAACUCCCAGCUUGUUAGAGGCCAGGAACGAGUCUUUCUUCACAGAGCAGUAUGUGGAAAAGCACUCUGUCCAUCACAAAGCAGGGGUGUGGCCAACAGCGAGAAACUUGGCUGAGACUUGCUUGGGAAAGUGGGGCCUGUAGCAGAGACUCCGCCCAGACUGUGACAAAAAGGACAGAGGUGGGGGGCGGGGAUGAGUUAUGGUGAAUAACAAAAGGAAGGCUGGAAGGAAAUCCAGAAGAACAAACGAUUGCAGAGAACUGGGAAUGGAGGAUCUCACUAUGUAUUCCUGGCUGGCCUAGAAUUAACAAAGCUCCGUCUACCUCUGCCUACAGAGUGCUGGGAUUACGGACAUACACCACCAUGUCUGGCGCUAUGAUGAUCUUUUAGUUUUGUUUUUAGUUUUGUUUGUUUUCAUUCUGUGCUCACCAAGAUGUGAACUCCUUUGGUGAUCGUCCUAGAAUUUAACAAAGUUCACUCGUACCAUAA